GAAGGAGCCUCCUGGGUACUGUGGCUGGAUGGAGCAGCGGAUUGUGAAGCUUAAACCUUUGAACACCUGCAACCCCUGCUGACGGGCCUGGGAGACCCCGUCAGUGGAGGAAACAGAGAUGACUGGCUGAAGCAGCAGAAACAACAGAACCACAGUCCAGCUCUCUACAGACAAUAUCUGCUUCCUUCAGUGUCCAGCCAGAUCCAUCCACUGGUCUCCAGUCUUCUUCAUGCUUCAUCUCCAGUCUACCUGCACAGCGACUGUUUCCUCCCAUCAACCUGAUCUCAUAAGGUUGUGUUCAGGGCCUGCAGGGAACAUUUCCUGAAUUCCUGACUCUGGACUUGUUCUACUUCUGAUACUUCUGAUGAGCUUACCUGAGCAGAAACAGCAGAACCACAGUCCAGCGCUCCACAGGCAACAGCUGCUUUCUUCAGUGUCCAGGCAGUUCCAACUCCUGGUCUCCAUUCACCUUCAUUUUUAGCAUCCAGUCUACCUGCACAGCGGCUGUCUCCUCCCUCCAACCUGAACCCAUCGGAUUCUGUAGAGAAGCACAGUCAUCAUUAAAAGCUGAAAGUAAACUGUGAUGGCUGCUUUUGGGAUUCUUUUUU